UACGUAGGGGGCAAGCGUUGUCCGGAUUUAUUGGGCGUAAAGCGUGCGCAGGCGGUUGUGUAAGUCAGAUGUGAAAUCCCCGGGCUCAACCUGGGAAUUGCAUUUGAGACUGCAUGGCUAGAGUGUGUCAGAGGGGGGUAGAAUUCCACGUGUAGCAGUGAAAUGCGUAGAUAUGUGGAGGAAUACCGAUGGCGAAGGCAGCCCCCUGGGAUAACACUGACGCUCAUGCACGAAAGCGUGGGGAGCAAACAGG
rnacentral:rRNA from 1 species